GCUCCGUUAGCUCAGUUGGAUAGAGCAACAGCCUUCUAAGCUGUGGGUCAUUGGUUCGAAUCCAAUACGGGGCG
rnacentral:tRNA from 1 species